GACGAACCGUGCGAACGUUAUUCGGAAUCACUGGGCUUAAAGCGCGUGUAGGCGGGAGGGCACGUCCGUUGCUGAAAUCCCCCGGCUCAACCGGGGAACGGGCGCGGAUACGACUCUUCUUGAGGGGCGUAGGGGGACCUGGAACUUCCGGUGGAGCGGUGAAAUGCGUUGAGAUCGGAAGGAACGCCCGUGGCGAAAGCGAGGUCCUGGACGCCUACUGACGCUGAGACGCGAAAGCCAGGGGAGCGAACGGG
rnacentral:rRNA from 1 species